AGAGUUUGAUUAUGGCUCAGGAUGAACGCUAGCUACAGGCUUAACACAUGCAAGUCGAGGGGCAGCAUGAACUUAGCUUGCUAAGUUUGAUGGCGACCGGCGCACGGGUGAGUAACACGUAUCCAACCUGCCGAUGACUCGGGGAUAGCCUUUCGAAAGAAAGAUUAAUACCCGAUGGCAUAAUUCUUCCGCAUGGUAGAAUUAUUAAAGAAUUUCGGUCAUCGAUGGGGAUGCGUUCCAUUAGGUUGUUGGCGGGGUAACGGCCCACCAAGCCUUCGAUGGAUAGGGGUUCUGAGAGGAAGGUCCCCCACAUUGGAACUGAGACACGGUCCAA
rnacentral:rRNA from 1 species